AUGGGCUUCACAGAAUGAGUCUGCACAUUAUCAUCAAAACGUAGAACUCUGCGUCCACCUUCUGUUGUAAGGAGUCCAUGAUGAAUUGGCUCUGAAACCAGUGGAUUAGCAUAUUAGUUGUCAAUCUCUCCUGCUGACGUUCCCAUGUGAAGAUACCUUAUGUGGCCUGGGUGUGUUGCUCAUAGAAUUGUUAGGGUUCUUCUAAGGCUGCUUCAGAGGUAUAAGGUUUCAGGAUCGAACCCUUUGGAUGGGAGUAAGGUCACUCACCUGAAUAUAUGGGAAAGAAAGGAACAGAAAUCACUGAUACUCAUGUGCUGAAAUGCAGCUUUCAAUCACGGGAAGGAGGUCCAAAAUCUGAAGGAAAAUACUUCAAAAGUGUGGAAAGCAAAACUGUUCUCUCAAGCCCAUCUGCUGGAUAUGAUUAGUCUGUGGACAUUUUUCCCUCCAAAUUUUCAGCUCCUUAUGUGAUGUGACAGGAGAGCCAUCCUGACCUGCGUCUCUGGUGGAGGGUGCACAACAUCAGCUGCAUGCAGGGAGUGGUCUGCGAGGCUGGGGCUAGGAAUGGGAUCGUCUCCCUGUGGUAUUGCUGCUUUGAGCUUCAUCUAUGCGUGUGUCCCAUGAGCAAACUAAACAAAUGGAAGGCUUCUGCUAAGCUUCGACUCUCACAAAACUCAGCUCCUUGCCUCCAACGAAUCAACAGCCACAAACCCCAUGCAGGCUGGAGCAGUGGUCUCAUGAGGAAGACAGGACGUGACCCUGGAGGCUGCAGCAUGUGAUAUGUGACACUCUGAGAUCUUGGCUCUCCUGCUGGUGCCCCUUUUUUAUGGAACUUGGGCACAGCAGCUCUGCCAGAGAGAACAAGCAUUGGAAAAAAACUCGGCUGAACUUCUCUGGUGUUGCAGUUUGAGAGGACGUGGACCAGUUGGAAAGAUUCAAAGGAGAAGCCUUGAGUAUAAUUAUGGAGGUCUCAAACAUGACCAAGGAGAUCCUCUUUUUAUGAAAAAAUGGUGAUCAUUCUUCAUGUUCCUGAGGUGUCUUCGCUCCUAGAAGCUGUCGCCUUAUUUCCUUCUGGGCUUUCAAGGCACCUUAGAAAACAUCUGUUAUUGCACCAACUGAUGCAGCCUUUAUGAUUUUUGCUACAAUUAAACUUUGCAAAAUUGCCAUGCUGGAUUUUAUGGGCAGAUUCUGGGUUAAAGUGCAAGCCAGACUACAAGGAAAAAGAAAAAGCCCCGACUGCAGGCAGGCAACUGCUGGAAGUAGGCCUCUGCUGCCUCAGCAUGGGCUGGGCAGUUCAGGCUGGGCUUAACUUUGAUCUUGGGCUCUCGUGGUUGCUUGACUUUACUCAUAUGCAGAUCUCAGUGGGAUUACAUGUGAGGUUAAACAGGAUGAGUGUUUGCUGUGUUGCAGCUUUGGACUAUACCCAGUGCUGGUGAGCACACAGACAAUAUUGUAGUGGGCAGCUGGAGCCACCACUCUGAGGCACACUAAUAAAUGGACCCGGAGGAGCAUCUGCUAACAGAAAAUAGUUUAGCUGGGAACAAAAUAAAGUUAGGCACGAAUGUCUAGUGUCUCGUCUCUUCUGUGUGUGCAGGACCACUUGCUUCCCAUUAAACCUGUGCUCCCCACACAGCUGCAGUUCCUAAUGACAAGUCACUAGGGCACCUGGUGCUAACCCCCUCAUGGCCUCGUCAGGCUCGGGCAGCGGCCUGCCUGUAGCUCUCAGUGCUGCUGCUGGGGAGAUCACAGCCUUCAUUUCAUCAGAAAUGGAACGAUAGCAGAAGAAAUCUAUGAAGUGAAUGUGAAGAUACGGUGUGAAAUAACAUAGGUGACAAACAGGGCUAACAUUUCCUCUCAGUGCCAGGACAGCGCUAACAAUGCUGGAGUGUUUUGACAUGUCAGGAGAAACAUGAAAAAUCAUUGCGAGGAGAAACAACUUCCUGACCUGGUUUCAGCUUAAUCAUGGAAUCAUUUAGGCUGGAAAAGACCUUCAAGAUCAUCAAAUCCAACCAUCGACCUGACUUACUUUUCUAAACAAAAUUCAAGUCUAUGACAAAGGACGAUACCACAAGACACCCAACUCCAAUGUAAGGAAAACAGUAUCAAAAGCACAAACCAUAUGAGAAAGCGCCGUGCAGGAGAGAUGGAGACCAAGACCCACACAUUUGGUCUGCACAGAGCGUGGGGCUGAAGCCAGCCCUCAGCGAGGGUGUGAUGGAGAUGCAGACGCUCGCCUGGGGAAGCCUCAGUCACCAUAUGCAGGCCAUGGAAUUGAGGAACGUGAGUGACUUAAAAGAAAAAUGUGAAACUCAUUUUUCCCCUUUGAAUUAGUGUAGACCAAAUCUAUUAUGCGUUUCAGGUGGUGUGCUUGCAUUACUUGUUAAUAGCGCUUAAAUAAGAAAAGAGGAUAAAGCACAUGCAGACCGAAAUCACUUCUAUGUAGUAUACAAACACUUUUGUUCCAGAAGUAGCAGUUGAUAUAAGAACUAUGCAAAACACUAAAGCUGAAUUUCUGAAAUUACUAAGGGAAAAAAAAAAAAACCCUUGAAUAUUUGCGAGUGUGCUUCAACGCCUGGGAAAAAUCACUUUUAUUAUAUGGUACAGCACAUAUUCAUCAGUACAUGACUUCAGUGCUGAAGUAUGGUAACUUGAACCACAUUUCCAUAGCUCCCACUUGUACAGCCAAAAACUAGCUUGUUAUAUCACCCUUGUCACUGGUGUUGAUGGUAGCUAUGUUCACUCCAUAUUUAAUUACAAAGGCUCCAGUAUCACUUACUGUUUCUAAAACAAAUUAAUGCAUUUUAAUUGUCUCAUUUAUAUACAAUAGAUACAAUUACUGGAAUGGUAAUACUUUCUAAAGCUGUUGUGACAUCUUGCAAAAGAGGUCAGAGCUUUCCUGCUGCUAUGCUUUCCAGGGGACCUGUCCCUGGGGGUUCCCCUUUCACGCGUGGAGCUUCUGUCACAGCUUGUUACUGCCUUGCAGUCAGCAAUAAUUAAACAGACAAAGCGAUUCUAAUGGGGAGCCGAGUGCUGGGCCUGGAAAAAAGACUUUGUCAAAGUAUCAACAGAGCUCAAGUAUGAACUCAGUCAUGGGGAGAGCUGUUAGACCAAGUCCAGGAGAGGAAAGAAAGAAAGAAGAUGCUUUUUUACAGGAGAAAACACAGGUAAUGUCAGAGGACUCCCAUCCCGUAGAGAGAACAAAACAGAAUGGCUUAUGGUUUACUAAUUAGGGUCAGAUUUCAGCAUGAAUUGCUCACGCUGUUUGACAUAGCAGGAAAUUUGGCACCAGGCGGGUGUAGCGCUUCUUGUUUUGGCAUUAAGGGGCGACGUGAGCUCAGUCUCUCUGAGCAGAAAACUACUCUGCCUGGCUUGUCUUUAGCUUUAGAAAAUGGCUGCAGUAGGAACUGAAGCCACACUUCAAUCACCUGGCCUUGCACUUCAUUAAAAAUCGAGGUCUUGUUUGUAAGAGAUUUGGGACCUGUGUCCUCCUCUUGCAGCUGCAGCCCUCUGGGAGGUGCAGGUGGGCCCCAAGGAAGCCCUCGACUCACCCCAAGCACUGAGAGAGGUUUCUGAAGGGGAAGGGUCCAGCACAGGAGGGUUUGGUGAAAUGCACUGCAGGAGGAGGGGAGAACCUGCUGGUGGAGUUGUUCCUCUGUAGUUUAACAAAAAAAAUGCUCACAGGGAAGUAAGUGUGGACCCCCCUCUUGUAGGGCUGAUGCAGAGAAUGUUUCCACAGAAGUGACCUUUUAAGAUAGCAUGUACCAAACAGACAUCUAGGCAAGAAAAAAGGCUUUCAUUUUUCCACGUACAUGUUAUAUUCAUUUCUGUUACAUUUCAGUAAAAUGCAUGGCCCUGCAGAGGGAUGUUUUAUUCAACAAACUUGACCGUUUCAGGUUUAUCUAUUUUAUUUAAAAUAUUAGUAGGUCUUGUACUUGGGCACUGGUGAAAUAGCAAGGGGACUACCAACAAUUAUGAUUUUAUUACAGUUGUAAAAAGCACUUCAGAAUUGAAUGCCAGUAAUAAAUGAACUUCUCUUUUAGGGGUAAAGACAUGGACCAAAAGCAGCUGUUCUGAGCCUGUCAUUCAGUUUGAAACCUCAGUACAAUUUCUGCUACUGUGAGAACUAUGUCAGAGUACCGAGACCAGGUGCUACACGCAGAGAGGUAUCGCAAGGUGGACACUGAAGACAAUUUCGAGUGGGAAAUUUGCAGUAAUUUUGAACAGCAAGGAUGCCAAGAGCUGAGGCAGACAGCCAAGCAGAAUGGCAGAUGUUUCAUCUUACAGUGCUUACAGUGCUGCUAAGUGUUGGGUGCUAGUGUUUGGAGUGCUGUCUGGAGUACAGCCAUACGCUGCGGCCAAGGUCACAAGGACACUGCUCCGAGGCAACCCCACACGGAACCAAUGUGCCAAGGGUAAAACAGCACAGAGCACCUUGAGAUGCCCCGCGGAAGCACGGCAUGGAUACAUAUCAAUGAAAGGAUUACACUCCCAGUGCAGGACAGCAGAAGACAGACAUCAAUGUUACACCUUAGAAGCUGAGUAACUACAUCACAGUUGCGAAUUUGUAUGGCUUGCAGCCCACAGCCAGAGAACGCACUUGUGCUCACCCAGAGAAUAAUGAGAGCUCCUACAAGAACAGCCCUUCUGCAGAAGCUCCCCUGCCAGCUCUCUGCUCCUGGGGACCCUCAACAGGAGACGGAAGUCCUCUGAUAUGGACUGCCUCUGGAAUCACUCACAUAGGAGGAUGGGUCGGAAGUAAAGCUUGGAAUCCUUUCACAGAUGAUGGUGAUAAUUAUUAUUAAUAUCUACUUUCCCCCUUAUGUAAAAGCAGAGUCCCUCAGGAGGAGCCCAGCAUGGGUGCCCAGCUGCACUAAGAGGAGAAGAGAAUGCAACAAGGGUAAGCAGCAAGAGUGGAGAUGCAAGAUGAAAGUCUGUAGUAAGCCCACCAGCAAAAGGCACUCAAUACAAUAACAAAGUGCCACUGCGCAGAGGAUAGGCAAGCACAAAGGAGCAGCUGGCUGCAUGUGUGCUGUAUGGCCAGCAAGUACAAGAAGUCAGCUCUGUCAGGAGCAGGGGAAGUGCCCCUGUGCCUUUCAGAAGAAGAAAAUACCACCAAGAAAGGAUAAAAAUGAGGUGGAAAAGAAGAUGCCCAGCAGCAUUGAUUGCUAGCUGCAUGCUACAGCCCACAAAGCCACUCACCUUGGAAGUGGAUCAAACCCUAACAGACCUCUUCUCUGCCAUUUUAUACUCACAGCUAAUUUGGGAUGUGCUUGUUAAGGACUAAUUGUUUGCCUGUGUGGGGAGGGUGGUUAAGAAGUGAGCUGUGGUGAUGAUUUUUGUUAACGAACGCAAGCUCUGUAAAGUAAAGUCUUGCUUUGAGGCUUAAA